rnacentral:rRNA from 1 species
UACGUAGGGUGCAAGCGUUAAUCGGAAUUACUGGGCGUAAAGCGUGCGCAGGCGGUUCGCCAAGUCAGGUGUGAAAUCCCCGGGCUUAACCUGGGAAUUGCGCUUGAAACUAGCGGGCUUGAGUGUGGGCAGAGGGGGUGGAAUUCCACGUGUAGCAGUGAAAUGCGUAGAGAUGUGGAGGAACACCGAUGGCGAAGGCAGCCCCCUGGGUCAACACUGACGCUCAUGCACGAAAGCAUGGGGAGCAAACAGG